CCUACGGGAGACAGCAGUGAGGAAUAUUGGUCAAUGGACGAGAGUCUGAACCAGCCAAGUAGCGUGAAGGAUGACUGCCCUAUGGGUUGUAAACUUCUUUUAUAUGGGAAUAAAACGUUCCACGUGUGGGAUUUUGUAUGUACCAUAUGAAUAAGGAUCGGCUAACUCCGUGCCAGCAGCCGCGGUAAUACGGAGGAUCCGAGCGUUAUCCGGAUUUAUUGGGUUUAAAGGGAGCGUAGGUGGAUUGUUAAGUCAGUUGUGAAAGUUUGCGGCUCAACCGUAAAAUUGCAGUUGAAACUGGCAGUCUUGAGGACAGUAGAGGUGGGCGGAAUUCGGGGUGUAGCGGUGAAAUGCUUAGAUAUCACGAAGAACUCCGAUUGCGAAGGCAGUUCACUGGACUGCAACUGACACUGAGGCUCGAAAGUGUGGGUAUCAAACAGGAUUAGAUACCCUUGUAGUC
rnacentral:rRNA from 1 species